UAACCUUUAGAGCCCCUCAUUCUAAUAGUCUAUUAAAAAAGAAAUUUUGGGAGUGGGGGGCUAAUGCCAGAUCCCCAGAUGCACUCGGCUAUACGCACCCGACAUGCGUUUAAAUGUCCUUCCUUUAGAUCUCUUAUGAGUUAAAUAUGACUCACUUUCAGCCCCCACCCCUUUUGGUUUUACUAGCUGUGUUUGGCUUUACUGCUUUUUCAUGUUCAAAUUGCAUGUCCCGUCAGGAGACUUGUGACAUUUGAAAUACGACGCCGGGCCGUAUUUACUGAGCUAGACAAUACACGAAAGCCACAUGAAAAUCAAAAUAAGUCGGAUGCGGUUAAGAGCCGUGCCCUCAUUUAUUGAAUUCCCCACAGAUGUUUUGCAUGAAGACAUUUUUGGGGGGUAAUGAGGAGGGGAGCGUGUUUGGACGUAAGUUGAACCUGGGUGCCUUUCUUUUUCUUGACUGUGUGUGUGUGUGUGUAUGUGUUAUGUGAUUCAGGAGCGUCGGCGGCCCAGGCACGGAAGAGGCUUGAACGCGUGCAGCUGCUGCAUUAAGUUUUCCCCAUCAAAGCGUGGGGUGAUGAAUUGAUGGUCAUUUGUGGUCAUGCUUGCCUUCAUGGCUCCCUUUGAGGCUCCUCAGCACUCCUCCGUCCGAACAGAUCCCGGCGGAGCAACCCGAUAUCACGCCGGCGAGAUGACCAAGUUCAGGGCCCGCCCGUCGCCGCCUCCUCCCGCCGCCGGCCGGCCGGCCAGUCGGCCGCGGGAUCAAUGGAAUACCGUCGGGAUACGCGGCGGGCCGCGCCCACGCGCUCGCCAAUGAACCGUAUGAUUGGACGUCGUCGACCACCGCCGAGGCUUUCAUGCAAAUUGAUGAAGGUCCAGUCUUUCCCGUCCUGAUCCCUUCCUCCCAGCGGAGGUGUGAGAUGGGAAGCGCAGCCCCGGCCGGCCGGCCGCCGCCCGUUCCACACGGCUGCGUCCCAAAGAGCAGUGGCAAGACACAACUCGAAUUAUGAUUUCUUGGGUACCUGGAGCUGGAAAGCAAAGCGUGUCGAGUCUCUGUGGCCGAUGCAGUCAAGACACUCUGAUGAAGGCGGAAGUGAUAGCCGAAACACGUCAGGAGACCCGGGCGACGUUCCAUUUGCGAGCGUGUCGAGCCAGAGUGACGUUAAUGGCGGCGGAGAGGAACAAACACAUCAGAGCGGCGGGUGGAAAAGAGGACGCCCAUGUGAGCAAUGAGGAGAGAUGGAUGGAGGAGAUGAUGGUGGGAGGGGCAGGGGCGGCCAAGGCGCCUCGCCUCGCAUUGCCCCAGAAAAGAGGAGGAGGAAGCCAUGUGUGAAGAAAACAGCCAGCCGAGCAGCCCCCGGGCCUCCUCAGCAUCAGAUGUCAGCCUCCCGGAGUCAAAAUAUUCUUCCAAAGAUGUUCCUCUUCAGCUCUCGUGAGAAACGGCACUAAACGAGCUCGAGUGAGAAUCAUGAGGCGUACACGGAACAACCAUCACAUCGGUCUACAAAAAAAAAAAAAAAGCCCUGCUGUGUCCUUUAACGGCUUAUUACGGUGUGCCAUUCAGCAGCUCCCAAAGCUACGUCAUCAACUUGUUUGUUGCCCCCUUCAGAAGUGCACGGGGUGUCACCAAGGAGGAGAGAAAGCGAGACA